rnacentral:rRNA from 1 species
CCUACGGGUGGCAGCAGUGGGGAAUAUUGCACAAUGGGGGAAACCCUGAUGCAGCGACGCCGCGUGAGUGAAGAAGUAAUUCGUUACGUAAAGCUCUAUCAGCAGGGAAGAAACACUGACCUUACGGUCAGCAGACGGUACCUGAGUAAGAAGCCCCGGCAAACUACGUGCCAGCAGCCGCGGUAAUACGUAGGGGGCAAGCGUUAUCCGGAUUUACUGGGUGUAAAGGGUGCGCAGGCGGAAGAUCAAGUCAGCGGUAAAAUUGAGGGGCUCACCCUCUUCGAGCCGUUGAAACUGGUUUUCUUGAGUGAGCGAGCAGUAUGCGGAAUGCGUGGUGUAGCGGUGAAAUGCAUAGAGAUCACGCAGAACUCCGAUUGCGAAGGCAGCAUACCGGCGCUCAACUGACGCUCAUGCACGAAAGUGUGGGUAUCGAACAGGAUCAGAUACCCCAGUAGUC